AUUGAACGCUGGCGGCAGGCCUAACACAUGCCAGUCGAGCGGAUGAAGGGAGCUUGCUCCUGGAUUCAGCGGCGGACGGGUGAGUAAUGCCUAGGAAUCUGCCUGGUAGUGGGGGAUAACGUCCGGAAACGGGCGCUAAUACCGCAUACGUCCUGAGGGAGAAAGUGGGGGAUCUUCGGACCUCACGCUAUCAGAUGAGCCUAGGUCGGAUUAGCUAGUUGGUGGGGUAAAGGCCUACCAAGGCGACGAUCCGUAACUGGUCUGAGAGGAUGAUCAGUCACACUGGAACUGAGACACGGUCCAGACUCCUACGGGAGGCAGCAGUGGGGAAUAUUGGACAAUGGGCGAAAGCCUGCUCCAGCCAUGCCGCGUGUGUGAAGAAGGUCUUCGGAUUGUAAAGCACUUUAAGUUGGGAGGAAGGGCAGUAAGUUAAUACCUUGCUGUUUUGACGUUACCAACAGAAUAAGCACCGGCUAACUUCGU
rnacentral:rRNA from 1 species